UACCAUCAGCUUCCACUUCCUUCGGUCC
rnacentral:sRNA from 1 species